rnacentral:rRNA from 1 species
GACGAACGCUGGCGGCAUGCCUAACACAUGCAAGUCGAACGGAACUUGUUGAAUGAAGUUUUCGGAUGGAUUUGAUAAGUUUAGUGGCGGACGGGUGAGUAACGCGUGAGCAACCUGCCUUUCAGAGGGGGACAACAGUUGGAAACGACUGCUAAUACCGCAUAACGUAUAGAGAUCGCAUGUUUUCUAUACCAAAGAUUUAUUGCAUACAGAUGGAUUCGCGUCCGAUUAGAUAGUUGGUGAGGUAACGGCCCACCAAGUCGACGAUCGGUAGCCGGACUGAGAGGUUGAACGGCCACAUUGGAACUGAGAUACGGCCCAGACUCCUACGGGAGGCAGCAGUGGGGAAUAUUGGGCAAUGGGCGCAAGCCUGACCCAGCAACGCCGCGUGAAGGAAGAAGGCCUUCGGGUUGUAAACUUCUUUUAGCAGGGACGAAGAACGUGACGGUACCUGCAGAAAAAGCAACGGCUAACUACGUG